GAUGAACGCUGGCGGCGGGCCUAAUACAUGCAAGUCGAGCGAAGGGAUCAGAAGUUUGGGCCGCUGGUUGUGUCACCGGACGGGAUGUGAACAUGUCUACAACCUAGCUAUAGGACAGGGGGAGUUUCAGGAAACACGAGCUAAUACCGGAAAAUAUUUUGAACCGGAUGGUUCAAGAGUGAAAGACGGUCGUUCGUGCGCUAAUAGAUGGCUCCGCGCACCAUUAGGAAGUUGGUCAGGUCACGGCUCAGCAAGGCGACGAUGCAUAGCCGGCCUGACAGGGUGAUCGGCCACACCGGGUCUGAGAGAAUGUCCAGCCUCCCUGGGGCGGCAGCAGUAGGGAAUCUUCCGCAAUGGGCGAAAGCGUGACGGAGCAACGACGCGUGAGUGCUGAAGGUCUUCGGAUCGGAGAACUCUGUUAUUAGGGAAGAACAUAUGUGUAAGUAACUGUGCAAAUCUUGACGGUACCUAAUCAGAAAGACCCGGCUCACUCCGUG
rnacentral:rRNA from 1 species